rnacentral:rRNA from 1 species
UACGAAGGGGGCUAGCGUUGCUCGGAAUCACUGGGCGUAAAGGGUGCGUAGGCGGGUUUUUAAGUCAGGGGUGAAAUCCUGGAGCUCAACUCCAGAACUGCCUUUGAUACUGAAGAUCUUGAGUUCGGGAGAGGUGAGUGGAACUGCGAGUGUAGAGGUGAAAUUCGUAGAUAUUCGGAAGAACACCAGUGGCGAAGGCGACUUACUGGACACAUAUUGACGCUGAGGUGCGAAAGCGUGGGGAGCAAACAGG